CGCUAGCGGCAGGCUUAAUACAUGUAAGUCGAGGGGUAGCAUGAUUGUAGCAAUACAAUUGAUGACGACCGGCAAACGGGUGCGGAACACGUACACAACCUUCCUACAAGUGGGGAAUAGCCCAGAGAAAUUUGGAUUAAUACCCCGUAACAUAGCGAUGUGGCAUCACAUUGCUAUUAUAGCUUCGGCGCCUGUUGAUGGGUGUGCGGCUGAUUAGAUAGUUGGCGGGGUAACGGCCCACCAAGUCUACGAUCAGUAGCUGAUGUGAGAGCAUGAUCAGCCACACGGGCACUGAGACACGGUCCAGACUCCUACGGGAGGCAGCAGUGGGGAAUUUUGGACAAUGGGCGCAAGCCUGAACCAGCCAUGCCGCGUGCAGGAAGACGGUCCUAUGGAUUGUAAACUGCUUUUAUACAGGAAGAAACACCUCCACGUGUGGAGGCUUGACGGUACUGUAGGAAUAAGGAUCGGCUAACUCCGUG
rnacentral:rRNA from 1 species